AUUGAACGCUGGCGGCAGGCCUAACACAUGCAAGUCGAGCGGUAGCACAGGGAGCUUGCUCCUGGGUGACGAGCGGCGGACGGGUGAGUAAUGUCUGGGAAACUGCCUGAUGGAGGGGGAUAACUACUGGAAACGGCAGCUAAUACCGCAUAACGUCGCAAGACCAAAGAGGGGGACCUUCGGGCCUCUUGCCAUCAGAUGUGCCCAGAUGGGAUUAGCUAGUAGGUGGGGUAACGGCUCACCUAGGCGACGAUCCCUAGGUGGUCUGAAAGGAUGACCAGCCACACUGGAACUGAGACACGGUCCAGACUCCUACGGGAGGCAGCAGUGGGGAAUAUUGCACAAUGGGCGCAAGCCUGAUGCAGCCAUGCCGCGUGUAUGAAGAAGGCCUUCGGGUUGUAAAGUACUUUCAGCGGGGAGGAAGGCGAUAAGGUUAAUAACCUUGUCGAUUGACGUUACCCGCAGAAGAAGCACCGGCUAACUCCGUGCCAGCAGCCGCCGUAAUAC
rnacentral:rRNA from 1 species